CAAGACGGUGUGGGCCGAGGUCGCUCUGCCACCGCGACGCGGAAACCCGUGCUGCGGUCCAAGGGGCGCUCUUUCCCAAAGGACCACGAGGGAGAAAGCACCUCAGAAAAGCGACGGCCCCCGGCCGGGAGUAGCGAUCCCGAUCGAGGGCCUGACCACCUAGGAAGAACACAGCUUCCCG
rnacentral:ncRNA from 1 species